GAUGAAGAACGCAGCGAAAUGCGAUAAGUAAUGUGAAUUGCAGAAUUCAGUGAAUCAUCGAAUCUUUGAACGCACAUUGCGCCCCUUGGUAUUCCGAGGGGCAUGCCUGUUGGAGCGUCAUUAUAACCCCUCAAGCUCAGCUUGGUGUUGGGGCCUGCUGCACUGGCAGCCCUUAAAAUCAGUGGCGGCGCCAUCUGGCUCUAAGCGUAGUAAUUCUUCUCGCUAUGGAGUCCUGGUGGAUGCUUGCCAUCAACCCCCAAUUUUUCUAUGGUUGACCUCGGAUCAGGUAGGGAUACCCGCUGAACUUAAGCAUAUCAAUAAGCGGAGGA
rnacentral:misc_RNA from 1 species